UACGUAGGGUGCAAGCGUUGUCCGGAAUUAUUGGGCGUAAAGAGCUCGUAGGCGGUUCGUCGCGUCGGCUGUGAAAUCCCGAGGCUCAACCUCGGGUCUGCAGUCGAUACGGGCGGACUGGAGUUCGGCAGGGGAGACUGGAAUUCCUGGUGUAGCGGUGAAAAUGCGCAGAUAUCAGGAGGAACACCGGUGGCGAAGGCGGGUCUCUGGGCCGAUACUGACGCUGAGGAGCGAAAGCGUGGGGAGCGAACAGG
rnacentral:rRNA from 1 species